rnacentral:rRNA from 1 species
GACGAACCGUGCGAACGUUAUUCGGAAUCACUGGGCUUAAAGCGCGUGUAGGCGGCCCGGCACGUCCGUCGCUGAAAUCCCCCGGCUCAACCGGGGAAGUGGCGUGGAUACGACCGGGCUGGAGGGGGGUAGGGGGAGCCGGAACUUCCGGUGGAGCGGUGAAAUGCGUUGAGAUCGGAAGGAACGCCCGUGGCGAAAGCGGGCUCCUGGACCCCACCUGACGCUGAGACGCGAAAGCGUGGGGAGCGAACCGG